GAUGAACGCUAGCGACAGGCUUAACACACGCAAGUCGAGGGGCAGCACGGGAGUAGCAAUACAACUGGUGGCGACCGGCGCACGGGUGAGUAACGCGUAUACAACCUACCUAUCAGAGGGGAAUAACCCGGCGAAAGUCGGACUAAUACCGCAUAAAACAGGGGCACCGCAUGGUGAUAUUUGUUAAAGAAAUUCGCUGAUAGAUGGGCAUGCGUUCCAUUAGGUAGUUGGUGAGGUAACGGCUCACCAAGCCGACGAUGGAUAGGGGAACUGAGAGGUUGGUCCCCCACACUGGUACUGAGACACGGACCAGACUCCUACGGGAGGCAGCAGUGAGGAAUAUUGGUCAAUGGGCGGGAGCCUGAACCAGCCAAGUCGCGUGAAGGAAGAAGGAUCUAUGGUUCGUAAACUUCUUUUGCAGGGGAAUAAAGUGCAGGACGUGUCCUGUUUUGUAUGUACCCUGAGAAUAAGGAUCGGCUAACUCCGUGCCAGCCGCCGCAGUAA
rnacentral:rRNA from 1 species